UAUUGGAAAGAAAGCAAAAUGGAGGAACGUUUUCUUGAAGCACUCCAAAAACUUGAUACUGCUGUUUCACAAAGAAAAAUAACUUACAUGUUCAACAAGAAGUAUAACUUGCUUGAGAAAUUGAAUGAACAACAAGCUACCAAUAUUCACAAUCGCUUAGCAUUUUUUAUUAGAAACAUUAAAGAUGAUCCAAAACGACUCUGGAGUUUUUUCAAAGAAAAACCUGCCUUCUUAAAUUCUUGACUAUAUGGAAAAUCCAAGUUAUAGGACUGCAUUUUGCACAUGCCAAAGAAACAACACUGACUCUUAUUGAAUUUUAUACUAGUUAAAUUAAAAACUCAAUGCUGCUUGUAAUUAAAGAGCACCUUGUAUAUUUGAAAUUCUGAUUAAUAAUUAUGUGUAAAAUAAAUAUGUUCAUGUAUCCACAUUUUCUUAAAAAUAAUUGAUUUUAUAUUCUAUUAUUUUUAGUUUAUAAGUACAGAAAACUAUGUGUAUAAUUUGUGUGUGUGUAUUUUUUUUACUUAUGUGUGUGUAUUUUUUUUAAAGUUAUAAUACUUAGUAUUAUUUUUUAUUAUUCCAUGAUUUGUAAUGAUUUUUUAAACUACGAUUUUUGGAAAUUUUUUAUUCCUUGAAAUAUUUUUUACCAUUUUAUAUUCACUUGUAUAUUUUUAAUGUUUUGUUGUGUUUGAAAUUUUGUCUUUAUUUUCUUCUGAAGUAUGUCAGUAUUAUAUGAUUGUUUCAUCUUAAAUAAUAUUAGUCAGAAGGGACAAAUAAUAAUACAAUAUUAAGUAUAUUCUAUUAUUUUUUGUCCUAACUUAUAAAACUUUUUUUUUACUAUUUUUUCUAAAGUUUUAAAAUUUGUCAGUAUUACGUAUAUGAAGAUAUUGUUUAAAAAAUUUUCAAAUUAUUUUAAUAAAUUUGUUAUAUGUAUUGCGUCAUUGCUUGAACUAUUUCUCAUCUUUGUUUUUUGUAAAAUAUUUUAUGUAAGAAUGACAAAAAUACUUAUUAAAACUUUGUAAUUCA